UUCACUGAGCUAAGACCAGUCAUCAUGUUCACUGUUAUAUUCAUGUAUCUGUGGCUUUCACUAGGUGACUCCAUGGCAGAUUCAAUAGAGACACUUUUGACUCAAAAAGUUGUAGAUGAUGGUGAUGAUGUUACUUUGUCAUGUAGAUACACAUUUAACAGUGUUUUAGGAAGCAACAACCUACAGUGGUACAGACAAUAUCCAAAAUCUAAACCUGAGUUCCUUCUUUAUAUUACUCAAAGUGGAGCUUUCAAUUCUGACCCUCUACCAAGAAUGUCUGUUAAAGUUGAUGAUAAACAAGUGGAUCUGAUCAUCUCCUCUGCUGCUGUAUCAGACUCUGCUCUAUACUACUGUGCUCUGCAGCCCACAGUGACAGGAAAUCUAGCUGCACUGUACAAACACUAAAACAGUUUUGUUAUAUUGAAAGCAGUUCUACUGAUGAUUUUAAAUUAACUGGCCAUAUUGGAAAUCCUUUCUCUCUUGUUAUUAAUAGUUUAGAUUUGUAACACAUGUGUGAUUAUUAGGAUACAGCUGAUUCCAUUAGAGUGAUAUAUUUUCUCAGUAAUCCCAGAAGUCACCCAAAUCUAAAAGUGUUUAGAUUUUCUGCAGAGACAAAACAACACACACCUCCCUUCCAUCAUCAUCA